GAUAUUUAUAUCACAGAAAUUCUACGGAAUCUAGAACAGAGUAAUGUACAUUGAAACACAAAGUUAAUUUUUAUAUGAACAAAAAAAUGUCAAAUGCCAGUUGAGCGUUAACUUACAAAGCUAUGUUCUGUACACGUGAAAAGUAGAGGCUGUGUUAUUUAUACAUUGCUGUACCUGUGCAAUAAAUUAAACAAAAAGUGCUUAACCUAUAUACAAAUUAAAUAGUUACAUUGUUUUUCCACACUAAGACAGGUACUACACUUUAGUUUUAAAGAACAGAUAAAAAGCGAUUAGUCCGGUACGCAAAAUCUAAAAAUAAAAGCAAAACAGGAUAAUAUGAUAUGUAGGAUUUGCCAAAAAGAAAUGUGGUAGACCACACCAGAAGUAGAUCUACCACAUUUCUUUUGGUCACAUUCUGUAUUUUAAGCAAGAUUUGGUUCACUGCUGCCUCCCACUUUUACUAUUAUAUCGAGCACCUAUUCUAUAUCUUUGUAACUAAUAUGUAGGAUUGCAAUAUGAUGAAUGUAUAUACAUCAAUUUGCAAAGGAGAUAUGAGGGUGGUGGACCCCAGUGGUGGCUUUUUUUGGGGUGGGGGAGGUCUGGUAAUGUUGUAAGAACUGUUAAUCAUAGCUCCCCUGGUUGGGAAUCUUAUCUUUAGACUCCCAUUUAGUAACUAGAUGUCUGUUACCCAUCUGGGGUCUGUGAGGCCGCACAAGUGAUUGGAUAUACAAAUCUCUCUCCUGAUUGGCCGGCCCAUAGGGAACAAAU